rnacentral:tRNA from 1 species
GGGGCCUUAGCUCAGCUGGCUAGAGCGCUACACUGGCAGUGUAGAGGUCACGAGUUCGAAUCUCGUAGGCUCCACUA